GACGAACGCUGGCGGCGUGCCUAACACAUGCAAGUCGAGCGCGGGCAUUUCGGGGGUAACCCGGGACUGUGCUGAGCGGCGGACGAGUGAGUAAUACGUGGACAACCUGCCUUAAAGCUUGGGAUAACUCCGGGAAACUGGAGCUAAUACCGGAUAAGACCACGGUGUCUAUGGAUGCUGAGGUAAAAGGCGGCCAGGAAACUGGCUGUUGCUUAAAGACGGGUCCACGUCCCAUCAGGAGUUGGUGAGGUAAAGGCUCACCAAGCCAAAGACGGGUAGCUGGCCUUAGCGGGUGGUCAGCCACACGGGGACUGAGACACGGCCCCGACUCCUACGGGAGGCAGCAGGUGGGGAAUAUUGGGC
rnacentral:rRNA from 1 species